AAUGCUUUCAAGGCUUUCAAAGCCUGUGUUCCAGUUGCUUGGAGCCCUCAUUCAUCUAUUACCUUGGUGAGGGGCAUCCCAGGCACCAGGAAGCUUCUUAGGCUCAUGCUGGAGGCGUUGUGGUUUCGCAAAUGCUACAGAACUGUUAUGCAAUGGAAUACGCCUUCUCUCAGUUCUAUUUUUUACUUUCACAGGUUAAGAGAUUGAUUGUGAUUGAGACGGAAGAAAUAUUUUAAGGCUUGCAAACAAAAAGAAGCAGCCCAAUGAGCUCUACGGCCUCCAUUGAUUGUGAACCAUUGCAUACCUGAUUCUUCUUACCAAUCAUGUGAGAUCCUUCACAGUGAACUGGUAUCAGAUAUGGGCAAGGACUUUGUUGAGAGCUUAGUGCAGCAAAAGGCAUACUUACAACAAGAAGCCUUUUAUAGAUGAUGAUCUUUUUAGGUCCCUUGGAUAAAUGAUCAGUGGAAAAGAGAUGCAGUUGAGUGUACAAAGCCAGCAGUGUUGGCUGGUUGGUUCUGGGGUAGGCAGAUGAAGUUUUGGAAAUCAUGAAGCCAAUCAUGCUAGUAUAGAAGGUGGUCGAUUAUGAUCAUAUGGGGCUAUGAUAUCACUUGUCUACGAUGCCAUGCUUUGGGCCAGGGACUGCAUGAUUGCCAAGAUUGGUGAGAGGGAACGGAAUUGGAGAGUGGUAGAGAAACGGUGGGCACCCAAUUUCAUCAUCUAAUGCAUGCGAUAGGACUUCGAUAUGUGCCAGAUCGAAAUGAAGAAAGUCAUAUUAAAACUAGUUAGAGAUAUUGAUGAGCAAACCCUAUGUAUAAACGAGGUUUCGGUGUACGGGAAACAGAUGUGUGAGUUUGCCUCACUGCUAGCACGACGACCCAUCCAUAACAUGACCCAGGGAAAGUUCUCUUGUGGACAUGCAGUUCAUCAAGGUGAGACGAACUGAAGCACAUUCAGCCUCAUUCCCACUAGGCCCUGAAUCGGCUGAAGAUGAAAGCUCUGCAUUUACUUGUCGUGGUGCACUACAACUAGUAGUUGUGGAUUCGCAAUUAGUUGGCGUAGGAGGUUGAGCAUACGUCUAUGGAUCUAAAGCACAAAGGUGUAAGGGUGCAGCCAGACAUGGCUGAGCUACUACUCAAUGGUAACUUUUCAUGGUUGGAUAGGGAACUUGAAGGUCACUCUAAAGAGUAUGAGCCUAGUGGUUUUUACUUGUCUCGUUGAAGUAGGUCUUAGGCUUAGGUCUCUAGUUAGAAUCCCCCUGCAGCAUUUCUACCCCACCCCCGCCCAUGGCCGCCCUCUUGGGAUGCCAUCCUAGUGGUCUACGGGCCCUUGUUAAGGAAUGACUAAAAAAAGAAGGAAUGUGUGAAUUUGCUUUUUACGUUGGCA